GGACGGGUGAGUAACACGUGGGUAACCUGCCCCUAAGUGGGGGAUAACAUUUGGAAACAGAUGCUAAUACCGCAUAGAUCCAAGAACCGCAUGGUUCUUGGCUGAAAGAUGGCGUAAGCUAUCGCUUUUGGAUGGACCCGCGGCGUAUUAGCUAGUUGGUGAGGUAAUGGCUCACCAAGGCGAUGAUACGUAGCCGAACUGAGAGGUUGAUCGGCCACAUUGGGACUGAGACACGGCCCAAACUCCUACGGGAGGCAGCAGUAGGGAAUCUUCCACAAUGGACGCAAGUCUGAUGGAGCAACGCCGCGUGAGUGAAGAAGGCUUUCGGGUCGUAAAACUCUGUUGUUGGAGAAGAAUGGUCGGCAGAGUAACUGUUGCCGGCGUGACGGUAUCCAACCAGAAAGCCACGGCUAACUACGUGCCAGCAGCCGCGGUAAUACGUAGGUGGCAAGCGUUAUCCGGAUUUAUUGGGCGUAAAGCGAGCGCAGGCGGUUUUUUAAGUCUGAUGUGAAAGCCCUCGGCUUAACCGAGGAAGCGCAUCGGAAACUGGGAAACUUGAGUGCAGAAGAGGACAGUGGAACUCCAUGUGUAGCGGUGAAAUGCGUAGAUAUAUGGAAGAACACCAGUGGCGAAGGCGGCUGUCUGGUCUGUAACUGACGCUGAGGCUCGAAAGCAUGGGUAGCGAACAGGAUUAGAUACCCUGGUAGUCCAUGCCGUAAACGAUGAAUGCUAGGUGUUGGAGGGUUUCCGCCCU
rnacentral:rRNA from 1 species